AUGGGGAUCUUUUUAACUGAAGAGGAGCUCCAGCAGGCGCUGAAGCACACGGACAUAGAUGUGGAGGGGAAGGUGAAUUUGAGUGAAUUCAUGAAGAGUGUCCAGCGAUUGUCCGAAGCUGAAGGGGAAAAGGUUGAUGUCGAUAACCUGGACUCCAUUCUAGCCAACACGGGGAUCCAUUUAACUGAUGAGGAGUUUCAGAAGGCGCUGGGGGGUGUUACUCGUGGUGCGGACGGAAAGGUGGAUUUGAAACACUUUAUGGAGAGCGUGAUGGGCACCCAGCGGCCUUCCUGGUGUGAAAGGGAUACAGUGGAUCUCCAGAACCUGGACUCCAUCCUGGACAGCAUGGGGGUCCAUUUAACCAAUGGGGAGCUGCAGGAGGUGCUGAAACAUGCUACUCUUGAUGCCAAUGGGAAGGUGAAUUUGCGCGAAUUUAUGAAGGGAGUGAAGACUAUCCAGAAAUUGCCCCCAGGUGCGGAGGACAAAGUGGAUGUGGGGAACCUGGACUCUGUCCUGGCCAGCAUGGGGAUCCAUUUAACCCAGGAGGAGCUGCAGGAGGCACUGAAGCACAGCCCGGUUGACAGAGACGGCAAAGUCGGCCUGAGUGCGUUUAUGAAGAGUGUGAUGAAUACGCGGAGACCCUCCCAGGCGGAGAGGGAUAAAGUGGAUCUCCAGAACCUGGGUGACAUCCUGCGUAGCAUGGGGGUCCAUUUAGCCAGUGAGGAGCUGCAAGAGGCGCUGAAACAUGUGACUGUUGAUGCUGACGGGAAGGUGAAUUUGGGAGAAUUUAUGGAGGCAGUGAGGACUGUCCAGAAAUUGCCCCCAGGGGAAGGUGAGUGA